GUUAGGAAUAUUGGACAAUGGGCGCAAGCCUGAUCCAGCCAUGCCGCGUGAGUGAUGAAGGCCUUCGGGUUGUAAAGCUCUUUAGUCCACGAAUAUAAUGACUGUAGUGGAAGAAUAAGCCCCGGCUAACUUCGUGCCAGCAGCCGCGGUAAUACGAAGGGGGCGAGCGUUAUUCGGAAUCAAUGGGCGUAAAGCGUGCGUAGGCUGUUUUGUAAGUCAGAAGUGAAAGCCCAGGGCUUAACCCUGGAAUUGCUUUUGAAACUACAAGACUCGGAGUCGGGAGAGGAUAGAGGAAUUGUCAGUGUAGCAGUGAAAUGCGUAGAUAUUGACAGGAACACAAGUGGCGCAAGCGGCUAUCUGGACCGAUAAUGAAGCUGAGGCACGAAAGCGUGGGGAGCAAACAGGAUUAGAAACCCGUGUAGUCC
rnacentral:rRNA from 1 species